rnacentral:rRNA from 1 species
AUACGUAGGUGGCAAGCGUUAUCCGGAAUUAUUGGGCGUAAAGCGUGAGCAGGCGGUUAAUUAAUUCCGAGGUUAAAGCUUGGGGCUCAACCCCAUAAAGCCUUGGAAACUGUUUUACUAGAGUACGGGCGAAGUGACGGGAACUCCAUGUGUAGCGGUGAAAUGCGUAGAUAUAUGGAAGAACACCAGUGGCGAAGGCGCUUCACUAGCCCGAAACUGACGCUCAGUCACGAAAGCGUGGGUAGCAAAUAGGAUUAGAUACCCUAGUAGUCCACGCUGUAAACGAUGACAACUAAAUAUUGCCGCGAGGCAGUGUUGAAGCUAACGCAUUAAGUUGUCCGCCUGGGGAGUACGGUCGCAAGACUGAAACUUAAAGGAAUUGACGGG